rnacentral:lncRNA from 1 species
CACUUCCUGUUGUGCUAGGAUAGCACCAAACUUUAUGGAACCAACUUUUGAUAACCCACAGGAAAUAUAUCAAAUGUAAUGCAAGAACAAAAUAUUAAAGACACCAAGAUUUUAACGAGGUUCCUCAACAGUCAGUGUAACUGGAGUAUGUCCUCGGAGCAGUAGGAGCUCACCCAAUAAUCCACUAUCAACCAAAUGGGAGUUUACAAAGUGUUGGCAAGCUUACAACCCAAAACCCCAAUACAACCAAUAGCUCUCACACACCAAAGAAACAAAUAGAGAGAAAUAUAAUGAAUAAUUUCUUCUCUAUACGAAGCUUAAAGCUAAUACACAAAUACAACUUUGAUUGAGUGAGAACUAACCAAGAAAGAAAAUCACCUUUCUUUCUUAUAUGGGAGCUGCGUACCUCUCUUCUUGUUUCUGCUGCUCCCUCCUAUUUUCUUCUUCUGCGGCUGUUUUCUUCUCAAAACAACAAAAGCAGCAAUUGCUGCUAAAUAAUUCCUUAAGUCACCCCGUGACUUCCCACAUGGACCAAAGAAAAAACUUUAGACAAAGUGCACUUUUCUUUUCCCUAAAACAAGGAAGAAACAUAUUCAUGUUGUCCUUUUUUUUUUCUUUUUAUUUGUUUAAUAGCCAAAAGGUAAUGGCCACUUGGCCACCAUUCAACAAUCUCCACCUUGGCCAAGUUCCGAAAACGCCAUGAUAAGCCAACUAACACAAUUGAUCCAAAAAAUCACUCCCAAACACUAGCAAGAGAACAACUCAUGCCGAGCCAAAUGCUCCAAAACUCCUACUGCUCAACGCCUUCUUUAUAUAGGCAAAAUGUGAGCCAAGUUCAAGCAAUGAACAAACUUGGCUACACCAACAAAAUGCUUAAUACCUCACUCUUGUGCUUCAUAGUAUAGACCCAAGACCUUCUUGAAUAAUCAUCAACAAAGGUCACGAACCAAUGUCUACCACUCAAAGAGGGAGUCUUUGUAGGACCCCAAACAUCCGAAUGCACAUAAUCAAGAAUGCCAUUCGUUUGAUGUACAGCAGUACCAAACUUCACUCUAGUUUGCUUCCCUAAGACACAAUGCUCGCAGAAAUCAAGCUUAUAAGUCGUGGCACCGUUUAGAAGACCUUGUUUCACAAGCCCUUGUAGAGCUUUCUCACCGGCGUGGCCUAAUCUCAUAUGUCAUAGUCUAGUAGUAUCUGAAUCAUAUGUGCCCAUAUUUUCAGAAACUACAGAUGCUUCACCUGUCACAGUGCUUCCCUGCAAUAAAUACAAAUGGCCACAUCGAGGAGCUUUCAUCACAACAAGUGCACCAUAAGUAACUUUCAAUGUCUGCUCAUCUGAAUGAAACCUGAAACCCUUGGAUUCUAAAGUGCCCAAAGAAAUAAGAUUUUUCUUCAAAUUCGGUACAUACCGAACACAUGUCAACUCUUUAACCAUACCAUCAUGCAACUUCAAACGAACUGUACCAAUCCCUUUUGUUGUGCAACGAUUGUCAUCUCCCAUGAACACAACGCCACCAUCAAACUCUUUCAAGCUUGAAAACCAAUCCUUGUGAGGAGUCAUAUGAUGAGUACAACCCGUAUCCAACACCCACUUAGUGGCACAAUCAAAUGAUGAAGAAGUGGUUAAAGCAAAAUCAGAAAAAUCUGUUUCAACUUCAGCAACAUUAGCUUCAGAACUUUCUUUGCCUUUGAUCUUCAAUUUAGGACAAUCUUUCUUCCAAUGGCCCUUAUUACGACAAAAGGCACAUUCAUCCAUUUCCAAAGGUUUUCUACCUUUAGAGUUUCCUCUAGGUCGAGACUGUGAUUUUUUCUUACUAGAAGAUGAUCUUCUCUCCGAUGAUCUACCUCUAACAAAUAAAGCUUCAGAGUUACUAUCAUGAUUUUUAUCUCUAUGCCUCAUUUCAUAAUUCAUCAAGGCAUUUGACACAUCUUCAAAUUUCACAGUUUCUUUACCAUGCAUAAUAGUGGUAACAAAAUGCUCAUAAGAGUCCGGCAAGGAAUUCAACAAUAUUAAGGCCUUAUCUUCAUCCUUAAUAUCCUCAUCUAAAUUUAACAAGUCGGCAAUCAACUUAUUAAAAGCAUCAAGGUGUCUAAUCAUUUUUGUACCUUCUUUGUAUUGAAAACGGUAGAGCUUUUUCUUCAAGUGUAGCCUGUUCUCUGCACUCUUCGUCAUAUACUUGUCUUCCAAUUUUUGUCACAACACACUUGCUACCGUCUCCCGCAUCACAAAAUACUUCUGAGUUUUUGCAAGGCACAACCGAAUUGAAGAGCAAGCCCACAAAUUUAAUUUCUCCCAUUCCGGCUUCGACAUAGCUUCUGGCUUCUCUCCCAAAGCGGCAAGUAGAUCUUGUUGAGCUAACACAUCUUUGACCUCACAUUGCCACAUCCCGAAGUUGUUUGUGCCAUCAAACUUUUCCACUUCGAACUUUGCAUUUUGCACCGUAGUUCUUGCAAACUCGGAGCUGCUUCCAAAAGGAUUUUUAUCUUGCCCGUCUGACAUCUUUGGCAACUAGACAGUACCCAAGAGCAACCAGUGCUCUGAUACCAAUUCUUGUGCUAGGAUAGCACCAAACCUUAUGGAACCAACUCUUGAUGACCCACAGGAAAUAUAUCAAAUGAAAUGCAAGAACAAAAUAUUAAAGACACCAAGAUUUUAACGAGGUUCCUCAACAGUCAGUGUAACUGGAGUACGUCCUCGGAGCAGAAGGAGCUCACCCAAUAAUCCACUAUCAACCAAAUGAGAGUUUACAAAGUGUUGGCAAGCUCACAACCCAAAACCCCAAUACAACCAAUAGCUCUCACAUACCAAAGAAACAAAUAGAGAGAAAUAUAAUGAAUAAUUUCUUCUCUAUACGAAGCUCAAAGCUAAUACAUAAAUACAACUUUGAUUGAGUGAGAACUAACCAAGAAAGAAAAUCACCUUUCUUUCUUAUAUGGAAGCUGCGUACCUCUCUUCUUCUUUCUGCUGCUCCCUCCUAUUUUCUUCUUCUGCGGCUGUUUUCUUCUCAUAACAACAAAAGCAGCAAUUGCUGCUAAAUAAUUCCUUAAGUCACCCCGUGACUUCCCACAUGGACCAAAGAAAAAACUUUAGACAAAGUGCACUUUUCUUUUCCCCAAAACAAGGAAGAAACAUAAUCAUGUUGUCCCUUUUUUUUCUUUUUAUUUGUUUAAUAGCCAAAA